rnacentral:tRNA from 1 species
ACCUGGCUGGCUCAGUUGGUGGAGCAUGCGACUCUUAAUCUCAGGGUUGUGGGUUUGAACCCACAUUGGGUA